AGAUGUGGAGUCCAUAGCAGAAGACAGAAGCACUCUGAUGCCUCUCCUGCUUCCUGGGCCCCAGAAGUGACACCACCUCGGUUGUCCUGCGCUGCCGGCAGUGCUGUGCCACACCACCAUGGAGCAGCUCCUCCGUGCUGGGGUUUGUGACAUGUACUAACUGCAGCCCCUGAACACAGAGAGGGAAUUUACCUUUGGCUACUGAAGAUCAUUUUAGGAACUGGGUGUCUGGCUUUGUUCCCGACACCAUCGGUGUGCCACCAGCACUUGGUUCAGCUGCUUCCUCUCCUCACUGAGCUCCUCUGAUAUUUCCUUGUGGAGAAGAACCAUGGUGGGCUGCAGGUCCUCCUGAAUUCACCAAGAAGCGGCACUGAGUGCCAAAAGCAAAGUGUGGUUUAAUCUUCAAAGGAUGACAAAAUGGUUUGUCAAGAGAUUGGCCUCUUUGGAAAUCAUGGCUUAUGUCAGUCCCCAGCAUCUGAGGCCAAUCAAGCUGUGCACAGUGCAGGACCUCCAUCGGCAGCACCCCAACCCGGCUGGGCAGAGCAGUGCCUGUGGGUGCUGCCGGGGCCACCCCUCCUCACACUGCACAGUGUGUGGGAUGAGCUAGAGGGGAUGUCAGACAAGAGGGGCUGCCAGGUGCAGAGAUCACCUGGCCUCUGAAUGAGGCGGUUAUGGGAAGCAUUGGAGGACUGUGUGAACUGAGAGACGAACAGAGUGUGCAUAAGGAUGGGCUGCCCCUCGGAGCUGGCAUGCCGUGUUUUCCUGCUGUCUCAUUGACUUCUUGCCAAAAAGGCCAAAAUGUCAGAGUUUUCUCAGGAAUUCUAAAGUUGGAACUUAAAAGUACUUGGAGCACUUGGUUUAAUAGACCUUCACAUCAGCGUAUUCCCAGUUCCACACAGCUCCCCAGUGACAUGGGACCUUUUGUCAAGCACAUAUGAAAUUAAGUGAAAUAAAAAUCAUAUUAAAAAUUAUUACCAUCUAACAGCCAUUAGUCUGCACAUUGCUGUCACGUCUUGAUGGAUUUCUCACUUAGUUCAAUGAAUGUUCUAACGACAGUGAUAAAAUCACUCAGAAAAAAUAUAAUAAACUGUU
rnacentral:lncRNA from 7 species